rnacentral:tRNA from 1 species
AUUGUUAUUUUGGCAGAUUAGUGUAUUUGAUUUAGAAUCAUUUUAAGUA